CAGCCUUCCGCUUCCGCUUUCCAUGCCUGACGCAAGCGUAGUAGCCUCGCCGGCAGACUCCCGCCGGCCCUGGAGAGUGCGCCCGCGCAAUGUGGCGCUGCGGGAUGCUGAGCGGAAGGACUGGACGUUAAGAAAUGUUAAGAAUUAUCCGGCACCUGCGGUUCCAGCUACCCAGGAGACUGAGGCGGGAGGAUCGCUUAAGCCCAAGAGUUCGAGGCUGCAGUGAACCGUGAUCGCGCCACUGCACUCCAGCCUGGGUGUCAGAGUGAGACCCCGUCUGUAAAGAAAGAAAGAAAUUCUCCCUGGGUGGUGGGAAAACACAUGUGAUUAUCUUUUUUAUGCUUUAAUUUUUCCAUAUGCUUUGUCAGUAAUGAACCCAAAUAAAUCUUAUUUCAGUUGUGGUGGAUGUUAUAAAGGAGCCCUGCUAUGUGCUAAGGGUUAAGGAGUGGGGACUGUUUCUUGUGCUCCACACCUUCCCAGAACGGAAGUGAGAAUGAAAUUGUAAGAGUCAACAUGCCAUGUACAUUGAGAGGAUUAUUGUUUCUGGACAGCUCUGAGAAGCUAAGAACUAACAAGAAUCAUCUUUAAUCUCAUGUAGUGACCAGUUGUCCUUUCAAUGAUAGCCUGUCUUUUACCCACUUGUAAUGCUGUCUCACCUAUAGCAAGUUUCUCUGUACUUUUUAAUCUGGGAGAAAUUUUUUAAUCUUUUAUCUUUUUACCUGUUAACAUUAUGUUAUCGGCAAUAUAAAAUAUUCAAAAGCAUAUGAGUUCACAGAUUGAAAAGCCUAACGACCAUGAAAAGAUGUUUCUCUGUCCGUCCAUUUGUUGUUGAUUUCUAGUAGAAAAUAACGAACAGUAGGAGCCAAAGGAUUAAAGAUUGUGGUUUAAAAAAUAAAAUUGAUCAAAUUCA